rnacentral:rRNA from 1 species
UACGUAGGGGGCAAGCGUUGUCCGGAUUUAUUGGGCGUAAAGAGCGUGUAGGCGGCCUGAAAGGUCAGCUGUGAAAACUCGAGGCUCAACCUCGAGACGUCGGUUGAAACCAUCUGGCUAGAGUCCGGAAGAGGAGAGUGGAAUUCCCGGUGUAGCGGUGAAAUGCGCAGAUAUCGGGAAGAACACCCGUGGCGAAGGCGGCUCUCUGGGCAUGUCCUGACGCUGAGGAGCGAAAGUGUGGGGAGCGAACAGG